GGCAGCACGAUGUAGCAAUACAUUGGUGGCGACCGGCGCACGGGUGAGUAACGCGCAUGCAACCUACCUAUCAGAGGGGAAUAACCCGGCGAAAGUCGGACUAAUACCGCAUAAAACAGGGGUUCCACAUGGAAAUAUUUGUUAAAGAAUUAUCGCUGAUAGAUGGGCAUGCGUUCCAUUAGAUAGUUGGUGAGGUAACGGCUCACCAAGUCCACGAUGGAUAGGGGUUCUGAGAGGAAGGUCCCCCACACUGGUACUGAGACACGGACCAGACUCCUACGGGAGGCAGCAGUGAGGAAUAUUGGUCAAUGGGCGAGAGCCUGAACCAGCCAAGUCGCGUGAAGGAUGAAGGAUCUAUGGUUUGUAAACUUCUUUUAUAUGGGAAUAAAGUGAGGAACGUGUUCCUUUUUGUAUGUACCAUAUGAAUAAGCAUCGGCUAACUCCGUGCCAGCAGCCGCGGUAAUACGGAGGAUGCGAGCGUUAUCCGGAUUUAUUGGGUUUAAAGGGUGCGUAGGUGGUUAAUUAAGUCAGCGGUGAAAGUUUGUGGCUCAACCAUAAAAUUGCCGUUGAAACUGGUUGACUUGAGUAUAUUUGAGGUAGGCGGAAUGCGUGGUGUAGCGGUGAAAUGCAUAGAUAUCACGCAGAACUCCGAUUGCGAAGGCAGCUUACUAAACUAUAACUGACACUGAAGCACGAAAGCGUGGGGAUCAAACAGGAUUAGAUACCCUGGUAGUCCACGCAGUAAACGAUGAUUACUAGCUGUUUGCGAUACACAGUAAGCGGCACAGC
rnacentral:rRNA from 1 species